ACACAUGCAAGUCGAGGGGCAGCAUGAACUUAGCUUGCUAAGUUUGAUGGCGACCGGCGCACGGGUGAGUAACACGUAUCCAACCUGCCGAUGACUCGGGGAUAGCCUUUCGAAAGAAAGAUUAAUACCCGAUGGCAUAGUUCUUCCGCAUGGUGGAACUAUUAAAGAAUUUCGGUCAUCGAUGGGGAUGCGUUCCAUUAGGUUGUUGGCGGGGUAACGGCCCACCAAGCCUUCGAUGGAUAGGGGUUCUGAGAGGAAGGUCCCCCACAUUGGAACUGAGACACGGUCCAAACUCCUACGGGAGGCAGCAGUGAGGAAUAUUGGUCAAUGGACGAGAGUCUGAACCAGCCAAGUAGCGUGAAGGAUGACUGCCCUAUGGGUUGUAAACUUCUUUUAUACGGGAAUAAAGUGAGGCACGUGUGCCUUUUUGUAUGUACCGUAUGAAUAAGGAUCGGCUAACUCCGUGCCAGCAGCCGCGGUAAUACGGAGGAUCCGAGCGUUAUCCGGAUUUAUUGGGUUUAAAGGGAGCGUAGGCGGACGCUUAAGUCAGUUGUGAAAGUUUGCGGCUCAACCGUAAAAUUGCAGUUGAUACUGGGUGUCUUGAGUACAGUAGAGGCAGGCGGAAUUCGUGGUGUAGCGGUGAAAUGCUUAGAUAUCACGAAGAACUCCGAUUGCGAAGGCAGCCUGCUGGACUGUAACUGACGCUGAUGCUCGAAAGUGUGGGUAUCAAACAGGAUUAGAUACCCUGGUAGUCCACACAGUAAACGAUGAAUACUCGCUGUUUGCGAUAU
rnacentral:rRNA from 1 species